rnacentral:lncRNA from 1 species
CCCCGGCAUCCUUCCCUCCAAGAAUUUCCCCACCUUGCUCUUGGGGAGACUCGAACUCACAACUGUAAAGAGCAUCCUCUACAAAAACUAGCUGCAAGCCUCCAACAUUGCUGAAACUACAAAUUUUGGGGUAUGGAAAAACUUAAAGCCACUUUAGAGAGUUCCACAAGAGAAUAUAAUGAUACGUUGUAAGGCAUCAUCCCCAUUAUACAAACAAUUCAAAUAAAACACACAUGUAUCAUUUUCUGUGACGAGCAUUACCUUGUAACGAACCUCUUAAACAUAAUGACCGGUACAUGUCACAAGACAUUCAAAACAAACAAUAAAUAAGAUCAACUUAAUGAAAUGUAAAUCUUCAAACACAAUUAUGCAGUUGAAACAGCCUCUCUACCUUCUUAAGAUAGGGGUAAGGCCUACAUACACCUAUUUCACCAUACGCGCUACCUCACCACACACCACUUGUGGGAUUACACCAGGUUUGUUUGUUGUUGUAAACACAAUUAUGCAGUAAAACUUUUGUUGAUAAGGUAAAUAACUUAUACAGUAUAUAAUCCAAUGAAAUGGAGGGGGGACCUACUCCGUAGCAUAUGGUGACCAGUAACUUAUGGAUUCCCUUAAUCAUCAAGUGCACUUUACACACGGAUGACAAAGUGAAAUCACAGUACAAUUAAAAGCCUUUUGGUCAUAACAUUCACUACAAUUAACAGUAAAAUAUGCAUUCACAUGGAUUCAUAGAUGACCAGAAAGAUAAACCGUUUAUACACUUACAGAUACCACCCCCAUCAAACCACCUCCUUAGCCGGCUUCUUCAGAUCAUCAUCGACAACUUUAGUAGGAAGAAUCACAUAUCCUCCAAAUUUUUUAGGGCUAACGUCAUCAUCGAAAUCAUCGUCGUCGUCGGAAUCCUCCUCAAAAUCAAAAGCGGUGGGCCAGAACAGAGACCAGAUCAGGUACAUCAUGGCAGCAGUUAAAGCGCCACAACCAGCACCGAAAAGCAUAGCUCCCAUGACCCUCAUGAUAUCCUUUGAUCGGUCACGAAUCGAGCUUGUGACGGCCGAGUAAAACUCCAUGGGCUUCGAUACAUCUUCUUCUUCUCUUUCUAUGAGCUGAUUUUCUUCUCUUAGUAGGAAGAAUCACGUAUCCUCCCAACUUUUUAGGGCUAACGUAAUCAUCAAAAUCGUCAUCAUCGUCAGAAUCCUCCUCAAAAUCUAAAGCGGUGGGCCAGAAUAGAGACCAGAUCAGGUACAUCAUGGCAGCAGUUAAAGCGCCACAACCAGCGCCGAAAAGCAUAGCUCCCAUAACCCUCAUGAUAUCCUUUGAUCGGUCACGAAUCGAGCUUGUGACGGCCGAGUAAAACUCCAUGGGCUUCGAUACAUCUUCUUCUUCUCUUUCUAUGAGCUGAUUUUCUUCUUCGCCGCCGCCGAUACGGUCGACGAAAAUAGCGUUGCGACCACCGAGAAACUUGUUGAAUCGGACUUUGUUGUCU